rnacentral:rRNA from 1 species
GAUGAACGCUGGCGGCGUGCCUAACACAUGCAAGUCGAGCGAUUCUCUUCGGAGAAGAGCGGCGGACGGGUGAGUAACGCGUGGGUAACCUGCCCUGUACACACGGAUAACAUACCGAAAGGUAUGCUAAUACGAGAUAAUAUGCUUUUAUCGCAUGGUAGAAGUAUCAAAGCUUUUGCGGUACAGGAUGGACCCGCGUCUGAUUAGCUAGUUGGUAAGGUAACGGCUUACCAAGGCGACGAUCAGUAGCCGACCUGAGAGGGUGAUCGGCCACAUUGGAACUGAGACACGGUCCAAACUCCUACGGGAGGCAGCAGUGGGGAAUAUUGCACAAUGGGCGAAAAGCCUGAUGCAGCAACGCCGCGUGAGCGAUGAAAGGCCUUGGGUCGUAAAGACUCUGUCCUCAAGAAGAUAAUGACGGUACUU